UACAGAGGGUGCGAGCGUUGUUCGGAAUUAUUGGGCGUAAAGGGCGCGUAGGCGGUGCGGUAAGUCACCUGUGAAAUCUCCUGGCUCAACUGGGAGCUUGCAGGCGAAACUGCCGUGCUGGAGUGUGGGAGAGGUGCGUGGAAUUCCUGGUGUAGCGGUGAAAUGCGUAGAUAUCAGGAAGAACACCAAUGGCGAAAGCAGCUUUCUGGGACGGUACUGACGCUGAGACGCGAAAGCGUGGGGAGCGAACAGG
rnacentral:rRNA from 1 species